AGCGGCUUCUAAGCAACAGCCUACACCAUGACAGAAGGAGCCUGAGCUCUGGGUGACCAGCCAGCCACCUCCACACCUUGGAAUGCUUCCCUCUGGCAGCUCCUGGAGCCUGGUUCACCCCCUGAUCUUCUUCACUUACAUAAUCCAGUGCCUGUCCUACGAUACCCUGCAACCUCCUCCAGCAAAGCUCCGUGGCCUAGGCCACGCCCCCGGGAAUCAACUAACAAUGCAGUCAUCCCAAGGAAGAAGGGGAUUGGUCAAGACCACGUGCAGAAGCCAGUGAUUCAGCUAAAAGUCCAUCACCAGUAAGAGGGUUAGUCUGAAAUAUGUUAGAUGCUUUUUUUUUUUUUUUUUUGUCAUUAAACAAAGGGUAAGUUAUA
rnacentral:lncRNA from 1 species